rnacentral:rRNA from 1 species
UACGUAGGGGGCGAGCGUUGUCCGGAAUCAUUGGGCGUAAAGCGCGUGUAGGCGGCUCGGUAAGUCCGGUGUGAAACCUUGGGGCUCAACCCCAAGCCUGCACUGGAUACUGUCGAGCUUGAGUCCGGGAGGGGAGAGCGGAAUUCCUAGUGUAGCGGUGAAAUGCGCAGAUAUUAGGAAGAACACCGGUGGCGAAGGCGGCUCUCUGGAACGGUACUGACGGCUGAGACGGCGAAAAGCGUGGGGAGCGAACAGG